AGAGUUGAUCCUGGCUCAGAUUGAACGCUGGCGGCAUGCCUUACACAUGCAAGUCGAACGGCAGCACGGGGGCAACCCUGGUGGCGAGUGGCGAACGGGUGAGUAAUACAUCGGAACGUGUCCUGUAGUGGGGGAUAGCCCGGCGAAAGCCGGAUUAAUACCGCAUACGAUCUACGGAAGAAAGCGGGGGAUCCUUCGGGACCUCGCGCUAUAGGGGCGGCCGAUGGCAGAUUAGCUAGUCGGUGGGGUAAAGGCCUACCAAGGCGACGAUCUGUAGCUGGUCUGAGAGGACGACCAGCCACACUGGGACUGAGACACGGCCCAGACUCCUACGGGAGGCAGCAAUGGGGAAUUUUGGACAAUGGGGGCAACCCUGAUCCAGCAAUGCCGCGUGUGUGAAGAAGGCCUUCGGGUUGUAAAGCACUUUUGUCCGGAAAGAAAACGUCUUGGUGAAUUUACGACGCCUGUGAGCGUCGUAGUAGACUCAGGCUUC
rnacentral:rRNA from 1 species